ensembl:processed_transcript
UAACAUUUACUCUAAAUGGGUUUAAUGUUUGAUGCCUACUUUAAGCACGACUUAGGCAUGGAUCGAUUGUUCGCUAGAAUCCUUUUUUUUUAUCACAGCAGGAGAUUUGUUCAGUGAUACUUUUCAACAACAGAUCAUCCAUGUACACCCCAAACAAAUCAAUGUUUGUGAAGGAGCAUCAGUCAAAAUCAACUGCAAUUUUGAGCCACGGGAAAACUACGCAGUGAGCUGGCAUUACAGCAAGACACCAACGUCAGACUGUGGCUCUCUUAUUGACAGGAUAAAUGAAGACCAGAAUAAAGAAAACGUGUACACUUGGCCAAUACUGAAGAUUAAUUCUACAAAGACCAGUGACAGUGGAUGGUACUACUGCAAGAUUACGCAAGAUAUUCCUGUUCUUGAAGAAAAAUGCAGUGAUGGAGCAAAAGUAUUUAUCGAAGCCAACACUAACAAAACACCAGGAACAAGCAAUGAGACACCGAAUCAGACAGAAAAUCCAACUACAGUCAAUUCCUUUAGAGCUUGCACAAGUG